AGCCAUGGGUAUUACUCUUGUGUCUAUUGUACAAUAUAAACAAUGAGUAGUUCUUCCAGUUAUGGUGCCAACUGGCUGAAGAGAGUUUGGGCUCAGCUUCAAGUCAUAUAUCUCUUAAUUACUUUAGUAGGGAAUAAAAGAGACAUGGAUCAGCUGUAAGACCUGGUGUGAGCUUGGACUCUGGAAUAGCAUUGAAGCCCAGCCCAGAAUAUUUUGAAAUAUCUGCUAAAGAGGCAGAACAUUAUGACAUCCUUUCUGCUUUUUGGCCAAGUGAUUCAACAAGUUCUAUUAAAACAUGUUGGGCAUUUUUAUUCAUUGGUGUUCUCUCAAGAAUGGGCAAUAAUCCUCUGGGUCUGAAUGUGGCUUACAUCUUCUUAUGAAUAAUUUUGCAUGUGGUCUUAGUUUUUAUGUGAUAUCACAGAGCUUGUGGUAGUGAUUCUUUAUAAUCCCUGCAAUUCAUUUUGUGUAUUUUCUUGCCUUGCUUUUUGUAUAUUGGAAGAAACCUGACCUCUCAGAAUGUUCCACUCACUGACGUUCUCUGGCCCUGUGGCUUCUAGUUGGGUUUGUCCAGUGGGAAGUCUAAUUGCAUAAUGUUCCAUACCACUCCCCCUUCCCAUCUUAAAGUGGUGUCAACAGAGGCUGUGUUCUUCUACUGAUAGCCACAACUUCUAUUUGGUGGGUAUUUUAUGGAAACAUCAUUCAUUCUAGCUGCCCCUUCUGGCUUAUGGAUGUUAAAUACCAUAAGAUGAUGUGAUUCGACCACAUCAUCUAUUUUUAUUUUUAAAUAUUUUUUAAUUAACAUACAAAGUGUAUUUAUCAUAUAUGAAAUCUAUGUUUUGAAACAUAUACAUUGUGGAAUGGCUAAGUUUAGCUAAUUAACAAAUGCAUUACCUCAGAAAGUUAUCAUUUUUGUUGUUAAUGCCAUGUUGUUAAUGUUAUCAUUUUGAUGUUAGUGCCAGCCCUUACUGGUUUGCCUAAAUCUUGCCUUUACUUCUGUCAAUAGUUAUUUUAAUAAACCCUCUUUAUUAAUUCCUUAGUGUGCCAUGAUGUUCAGGUGAGAAAAUCGUAUGAUUUGCCU
rnacentral:lncRNA from 1 species